GAUGAAGGAACGCAGCGAAAUGCGAUACUUGGUGUGAAUUGCAGAAUCCCGUGAACCAUCGAGUCUUUGAACGCAAGUUGCGCCCGAAGCCAUUAGGCCGAGGGCACGCCUGCCUGGGCGUCACACGUCGUUGCCCCCCCCAUCUACUCCUUCGGGAUUGCGGGGGGCGGAUGAUGGCCUCCCGUGCGCCUCGCCGCGCGGUUGGCAUAAAUGCCAAGUCCUCGGCGACGCACGCCACGACAAUCGGUGGUUGCGAAACCUCGGUUGCCCGUCGUGUGCGGUCGUCGCGCAUCGAGGGCUCGAAAAAAUUGCCGAGUUCCGGCUCGGCUUUCAACGCGACCCCAGGUCAGGCGGGGUUACCCGCUGAAUUUAAGCAUAUCAAUAAGCGGAGGA
rnacentral:misc_RNA from 1 species